rnacentral:lncRNA from 1 species
CCAUGCUGCAAUUCAAGUUGGACAUCAGGAAAGAUCUCUUCUCAGGAAGACUGGUGAGGCAGUGGCAAAGCCGCUCACGGAGGUCGGGGAGUCACCAUCCAUGGAGGUGUCCCAGAGCCGUGGGGAUGUGGCACUGAGGGACGUGGGCAGUGGGCACGGUGGGGUGGGGUUGGGCUUGGGGAUCUGAGAGGUCUUUUCCAGCCUUAAUGACUCUACGAUUUCCUUCCAACUCAAGUUCUUCCUCUUUGGGACCUGCUGCUCACCAGUUAGGGCUGAACACAGAAGACCUCCUGCAGGUUUGGAAAAGAAGUCAGCCUGCCAGGGAGAAGAGAGGUGAAUCCCAAGGGUACACAUCAGGAAAGCGCCUGGGACAGCAGCUCAGGUGACGCAGGACAGUGCUGCAUCCCUUUCCUGCACCGACCUGCACUGCUGGAGCCACCCAGACCCACCAUUCCCUGUAAUUAUUCACUCGACCACCUUGGAUGGAAGCCAGCAUCAUGCUCAAGAACACUCAUCUACAAAAAGUCCUGAACAAGGACAACACGAAGAAGAGGCACAAAUCUUCCCUGCUGACAGCCCAGAUGCUGUCUGAAGGCUCCUAAAAGCUCUCAGCAAGUCCUGCAAGCCCAGGACUUAUGGCAGACAACACUCCUUUCUGGCAGGCUGAACCGGCUCACGCCACAUGCUGAGGCACACAUCUGGCAGCAGGAACUGAGGCUCUGCAGCUUUGGCAGGGGAGAAGAACCCUCCCAUCCCCAUUUCCUGAGCCGCUCUCAUCGCAGCAGCGGCAACGAGUUCAAGAGAGGAAAAUC